AGCAGCCGCGGUAAUUCCAGCUCCAAUAGCGUAUAUUAAAGUUGUUGCAGUUAAAAAGCUCGUAGUUGAAUUUCGGGGUCAGUAGGUUGGUCAUGCCACUGGUAUGUACUGGUCUCACUGAUUCCUCCUUCCUGAUGAACUGUAAUGCCAUUAAUUUGGUGUUGCAGGGAAUCUGGACUGUUACUUUGAAAAAAUUAGAGUGUUUAAAGCAGGCUAACGCCUGAAUACAUUAGCAUGGAAUAAUGAAAUAGGACGUUCGAUCCUAUUUUGUUGGUUUCUAGGAUUGACGUAAUGAUUAAUAGGGAUAGUUGGGGGCAUUAGUAUUCAAUUGUCAGAGGUGAAAUUCUUGGAUUUAUUGAAGACUAACUACUGCGAAAGCAUUUGCCAAGGAUGUUUUCAUUAAUCAAGAACGAAAGUUAGGGGAUCGAAGGCGAUCAGAUACCGUCGUAGUCUUAACCAUAAACUAUGCCGACUAGGGAUCGGAUGAUGUUAAUUUUUUAAUGACUCAUUCGGCGCCUUACG
rnacentral:rRNA from 1 species